UACAGAGGUCCCAAGCGUUGUUCGGAUUCACUGGGCGUAAAGGGUGCGUAGGCGGCUUGGUAAGUCAGUGGUGAAAGCCCGGAGCUCAACCCCGGAACUGCCAUUGAUACUGCUUAGCUUGAAUCAGGUCGAGGUGGAUGGAAUAAUACAUGUAGCGGUGAAAUGCUUAGAUAUGUAUUAGAACACCGAUUGCGAAGGCAGUUCACUAGGCCUGUAUUGACACUGAGGCACGAAAGCGUGGGGAUCAAACAGG
rnacentral:rRNA from 1 species